GAUGAACGCUGGCGGCGUGCCUAAUACAUGCCAGUCGAACGAAAAGACGCGGCUCUUGCUCCGCUCUCGAUAGCCGCAGGCGGGAGAGUCACACGUGUAUAACGUCCCUAUCAGUCUGGGAUCACUACGGAACACCGGCGCUUAUCCGAGAUAAUAUCCUGAACCGUGUGGGUCAAUGGUGAGAUACGGCUUUGCUGGCUCUACUCGCUGGUUACGCGCUGCAUGAGCUAGUCGGUAAGGUCACGGCUUACGAAGGCUACGAUGCGUAGCCGAACGGAGAGGGUGGUAGGCCACAUGAGAACGGAGACACGGUCCAGACGACUACGGGAGGCAGCAGUAGGGAAUCGUCCGCAAUGGGCGAAAGCAUGACGGAGCAACGCCGAGUGAGUGAUGAAGGUGUUGGGAUCGUAAAACUCUGUUAUUAGGGAAGAACAAAUGUGGAAUGAACUAUGCACGGCUUGACGGUACCGAAUCAGAAAGCCACGGCUAACUACGUG
rnacentral:rRNA from 1 species